rnacentral:rRNA from 1 species
CCUACGGGAGGCUGCAGUGAGGAAUAUUGGUCAAUGGGCGGGAGCCUGAACCAGCAAAGUCGCGUGAAGGAAGAAGGUACUUAGUAUUGUAAACUUCUUUUGUCGGGGAACAAAGGCGGAGACGCGUCUCCGGAUGAGUGUACCCGAAGAAAAAGCAUCGGCUAACUCCGUGCCAGCAGCCGCGGUAAUACGGGGGAGGCGAGCGUUAACCGGAUUUAUUGGGGUUAAAGGGUGCGCAGGGGGGAGUACAAGGCAGCGGUAAAAUGUCGGGGCUCAAACCCGGCCGGCCGUUGACACUGGUUGUCUAGAGUUGGAGAGAAGUAUGCGGAAUUCGUGGUGUAGCGGUGAAAUGCAUAGAUAUCACGAAGAACUCCGAUUGCGAAGGCAGCAUACCGGCUCCAUACUGACGCUGAGGCACGAAAGCGUGGGGAUCGAACAGGAUUAGAUACCCCUGUAGUC